ACCACUAAACAAGAUGUUGUUUUUGUUCAUGGUUACUGCAGUACAAGCAAGCAAGGAUUACUACUGGCGCGACUACGACGGAGCCAUCCCUGAUGAUGCUCUUCUCGCCGGACGAGACGCAGACGGACGGGAUGUCUACAUAGGCCAAGUUUACUUCAGAGGUGAAGGCCUGCUCCCCGUGCAAAUAAACCCAGGCAUUAAAGGAGUUUACGCGGCAUUAUUCCAAGCAAAAUUCGCUAAAGAAUACAUUCAAAUAUUGUGUGGAAAGCUCGAUAAUUUUGGCUGGUUACAAACAAAUUCGUCCACUAUUGUGGAAGAUUUGAACAAUAGGCAACCAGUCGUUGGUGGAAACGAAGACGCAGAAGGAGAGAAAAAUUAUUGGAUUGGGGCGGCUUACGAGAACAAAACCAUGUGCAUAGGGCACGUCUUAGAAGUAGUGGAUGCGGAUGACGAGCCUCGGUUACACUGUGUGAACAAAUAUGGCCGGUUUUGGAGGAAAAGCUCGUACAAGAUUCUGGUCUAAAAACUGAUGUAAUAAAAAUGCGAAUAAAUUUGGUGUUUUUUCUAUGACGAAUGUAUAUCCUAGAACAUGGAAAAUAGGUCUCCCGUUUCCGUCUUUAAAUAAAAGGAACACUUAUUUAUUAAUUAUUUUGAUUGGCACGAAUUCAAAUAAUCAACAAAAUCGUUAAGAAACGAAUAACUGAAAACUUGUUGUUGCAAACACCCAAACAAAAAUAGUGAUGAUACAGACAACAAAUUAUUGCACGCCGUAGACGAUAAUUUUGUUUUAGUUCAGAUUGCGAACAAACAUGUUUAAAACUACGUUCUAUUUCGCGAUAUUUUCCUCUGUAUACAUCGCUGCACACAAAGACUACUAUUGGCGAGACUACAACGAAACAAUUCCCGAAGAUGCAAUCGUUGGCCGACGAAACGUCGAUGGGAAAAGUGUGUACGUGGGACAGGUUUACAUUAGUAGGGAAGGUCUAGUCCCUGUGAAGAUAGAUCCAGCCACUACGGGUGUAUUUGCGGAAAUUAAGGGUGUUCAGUUUGCAAGAAAACACAUCAAAAUUCUGUGUGGUCCAUCUGGCAAUUUCGAGUGGCACUCAACAACAUCUAGUUCUCUUCACGUGGACUUGAUUAACAAACACCCGGUUGUUGGUGGCCACGAAGAUGGAUGGGGAACUUACUUCGUGGGACGAAUUUUACCCAACCAAGGGACUUGCAUAGGGAAAAUUCUGGAAGCUGGGAUGAAUGGGUCGAGUUAUUUCUACUGCGUGAACGAGCAGCUAGAAUCCGAAGUGGCGAACGAAUUUGAAGUUCUUGUAAAUAUUAACAGCAAGGAUAAAUCUUAAAAGGACAAACAUAA